GACAGAGGGUGCAAACGUUGUUCGGAAUUACUGGGCGUAAAGCGCGUGUAGGCGGCCCUGCAAGUCGGAUGUGAAAUCCCACGGCUCAACCGUGGAAGUGCAUUCGAAACUGCAGGGCUAGAGUCCUGGAGAGGAAGGUGGAAUGCUUGGUGUAGAGGUGAAAUUCGUAGAUAUCAAGCGGAACACCGGUGGCGAAGGCGGCCUUCUGGACCACAACUGACACUGAGAGACGAAAGCCAGGGGAG
rnacentral:rRNA from 1 species